rnacentral:lncRNA from 1 species
UGGCAUCUGUUUUGCCAAGAGUUUGUUGAAAAACAGGCAUAAGAAGCAAACAUCUCUUUUGCGGAAGAGAAUACAAACAAUAUUCCAAGCUAUGUAGAGUAUAUUAUAGGUUAAA